GUCAGGAUGGCCGAGAGACGCCAGACUCAAGUUCUGGUCUUCGUGAGAAGGCGUGGGUUCAAAUCCCACUUCUGACA
rnacentral:tRNA from 1 species